UCCCAGCUGCCCCUGUGUAGACUUAGCCAAAGGAACUUUCCUCUCCUCCUCCUCCCCUGUGUGCCACCAGCUUUGCCUGACAGCCCUCUGUGCUGGCACACAAGGGAAAUACGGGCAGCAGCAGGACUUCCAGAGGUCUUACUCUGCCGUGAGCAGCAAGCAACCCAAAUCAUCCCCACUGAAGGACUUUUUCCUUUCUUAACCUCAGAACAGAGACUGUACAAUUGAAAAUAAUAUUCAAUUCAUUGGAUAGAAAGGAAGAAAAGACCAGACUUUGUUUGUACAGCUUGCUGGAUGUAGUUAUCAAGUGGAUUCCAGCUUUUAUACCACAGUUUGAGCAGGUAAGACGUGUGAGCUCAGUGGUUGACCUGUUGGCUUUUUAUAUGAUCUUGGCCAAGUCACAUAAUUCUGUGGUUCAGCUUCCAUAAGCUCUAGUGGUGAUAACCAAGGCCAAUUGUUUUUUGGAACUAUGCUUAUUCAUAGCAUAAUAUGAAGAUUGCUC
rnacentral:lncRNA from 1 species